rnacentral:lncRNA from 1 species
AUGCAUAGCCUAUUUUGCCCUUAUUUCUUUGCUAAAAGUAGUUGUAUAUCUUUAUGUAGAUGCAAAGAAGCUGAGAAGUAUUGGAGAGCAAAUAGAAUGUUUAAUGAAGAUCACUAUCUCUGUCACAACAUGAUAUUGAAUUCCAUUGAAGAAUUUUUCUGCCCCAAUUGAAAUAAUCAUCUGAUAUUUUUCUGCUGUAAUCCAUUCAUGUGGUAGGAGAGUCAGUGGGCGUCUUGUUCCAAUUUGCAAAACCAUCUCUUGUCAAAAAUAUAUGAGAAAUUCUCCAGCCUCCCCCAAACCUCUGCUCUGGAUCCAGCUGAUUAGCUAACACAGAUGGUUACCUACUUACCAGGUAAAGUUAGGAUGUGUAACUGAUGGUGCUAUCAAGUCCUCUCACUUGAGAACUAGUUAUUAUCUUCUAAACACAUAUGUAAUGGGUCGUAUCUGCUUGCCUAUAUAAAGGGCGAGAUUUCUGUCUUUGCAAACUCUUAGUGGAUUGCCUGUGAUAUAUAUCAUAUUCUGGCUUAAUAUUCUUUCAAUAAUUCAACAUCUUCUAUUUCUACUACUUUUGUGAAGAGGAUGUCUGGGUUGGGAGAAGAUAUUCUUCUUCUUUCUUGUUUUUUAGAGACAGGCUCUUGCUCUGUUGCCCAGGCUGGAGUAGAGUGUGUAACUCAGAGCUCACUGGAGUCUGUAGCUACUGGGUUGAAGGGAUCCUCUUGCCUCAACCUCCUGAGUAGUUAGGACUACAGGCAUGCACCACCAUACUUGGCUAAUUUGUACUUUAUUUUAAUUUUUUCUGUAGAAACAAGGUCUUGCUGUGUUGCCCAGACCUGUCUCGAACUCCUGGCCAUCCUUUAGCUUCAGCGUCUCAAAACGCUGGGAUUACAGGUGUGAGCCACUGGGCCCUGCCUAAGAUUUUUGUUGUUUUAAUUAUAUUUUCCCAACAGCACGCGCGCGCGCACACACACACACACACACACACACACACUAAGUUUUUAAUGGUAUUGUCUAAAUCUUCUAUAUCUUUACAGAGUUUUUGAUUUAAUAACUAUCAAGAGAGGUAUGAUAGCAAAUUUAUCCAUUUCUACUUGAAUUUAGUUAAUAUUUACAGGAUAUAUUUUU